UCAAUCGCCUAUGAUCAAAUU
rnacentral:piRNA from 1 species